rnacentral:rRNA from 1 species
AGCGGCGAACGGGUGAGUAACACGUAGGUGAACUGCCCAUCAGACGGGGACAACGAUUGGAAACGAUCGCUAAUACCGGAUAGGACGAAAGUUUAAAGGUGCUUCUGGCACCGCUGAUGGAUGAGCCUGCGGCGCAUUAGCUAGUUGGUAGGGUAAAGGCCUACCAAGGCGACGAUGCGUAGCCGACCUGAGAGGGUGAACGGCCACACUGGGACUGAGACACGGCCCAGACUCCUACGGGAGGCAGCAGUAGGGAAUCUUCGGCAAUGGGCGAAAGCCUGACCGAGCAACGCCGCGUGAAUGAUGAAGGCCUUCGGGUUGUAAAAUUCUGUUAUAAGGGAAGAACGACUUUAGUAGGAAAUGGCUAGAGUGUGACGGUACCUUAUGAGAAAGCCACGGCUAACUACGUGCCAGCAGCCGCGGUAAUACGUAGGUGGCGAGCGUUAUCCGGAAUUAUUGGGCGUAAAGAGCGCGCAGGUGGUUGAUUAAGUCUGAUGUGAAAGCCCACGGCUUAACCGUGGAGGGUCAUUGGAAACUGGUCGACUUGAGUGCAGAAGAGGGAAGUGGAAUUCCAUGUGUAGCGGUGAAAUGCGUAGAGAUAUGGAGGAACACCAGUGGCGAAAGGCGGCUUCCUGGUCUGUAACUGACACUGAGGCGCGAAAGCGUGGGGAGCAAACAGGGUUUAGAUACCCUGGUAGUCCAUGCCGCAAACGAUGAGUGCUAAGUGU